rnacentral:rRNA from 1 species
UACGUAGGUGGCGAGCGUUGUCCGGAUUUACUGGGCGUAAAGAGCGCGCAGGCGGUCGUUCAAGUCGCGUGUGAAAGCCCCCGGCUCAACUGGGGAGGGUCACGCGAUACUGAUCGACUCGAAGGCAGGAGAGGGAAGCGGACUUCCCGGUGUAGUGGUGAAAUGCGUAGAUAUCUGGAGGAACACCGGUGGCGAAGGCGGCAUCCUGGACCAUUACUGACACUGAAAAGCGAAAGCCAGGGGAGCAAACGGG